AGCAGCCGCGGUAAUUCCAGCUCCAAUAGCGUAUAUUAAAGUUGUUGCAGUUAAAAAGCUCGUAGUUGAAUUUCGGGAUUGACACAUCGGUCGUGCCUUAAGGGGUAUGAACUGGUGUAGUCAGUUUCUCACCUUCUGGAGAACCGCGAUGUCCUUAAUUGGGUGCCGCGAGGAGCCAGAACCUUUACUUUGAAAAAAUUAGAGUGUUUAAAGCAGGCAUUUUGCUUGAAUACAUUAGCAUGGAAUAAUAAAAAUAGGACGGAUGGUUCUAUUUUGUUGGUUUCUAGGAUCACCGUAAUGAUUAAUAGGGAUAGUUGGGGGCAUUAGUAUUCAAUUGUCAGAGGUGAAAUUACUUGGAUUUAUUGAAGACUAACUACUGCGAAAGCAUUUGCCAAGGAUGUUUUCAUUAAUCAAGAACGAAAGUUAGGGGAUCGAAGACGAUCAGAUACCGUCGUAGUCUUAACCAUAAACUAUAGCCGACUAGGAAUCAGACGAUGUUAAUUUUUAAUGACUUCGUUGG
rnacentral:rRNA from 1 species